rnacentral:lncRNA from 1 species
UUUAAGCAGCAUUUAACUGUGUGAAAUUCUAGCUCCAUUAAAAGAUCUGUUGAUGUUGGCUGUCAUAGAAUUUGACUUGCAUUAACGUCUCAGUGGUUCUGCUGAGAGAGUAAUUUUUAUGUGAAAUGGAACUCAGAUCAACUGUAAACAGAAAAUAAUAGUCAUACACAGCAUUUUGGAGUGAAAUAUAGCCAGAUUUCAGUUACUCACAGUCUGUUUAUCCAUUACUGCAUUGCAUUCUGCUUUUACAUUCUUUGGUGGCAAGGCCAUCUUCAUGGUGUCAUUUGUCAACAUUUUGUUCCUUUUGCCGUUUUUCUUAAGUGUAAACUCUGAUUUAAGCAGGAAACGGAAGGGAAAAGCACUUCCCCAACCUGGUGGGAAGCAUGGACCUGCACAGGAGGCCUGUAGAGGCUUGGAGAGGCUUCCGUGUUUCAGGAAGUGGUUUAUGUCAGUCUGAUAGGGAGUAUAUGCCAUUUUUCAGUAGGAAUAACUGAGUCAGGAGAUGAGCAAAAGGAACCUGAAAAUCUUAAUUCUUAUAGCUUGUAUUGAAACUAAGUGCAAAACCUGAGGCACACACCCAUGUUGAGAGUAAGUGUGACAGAAAAAAGCAGAGGGGACAGCCUCAGCUGGUGCUCCCUCCAGAGCCUGGAAUGGAGCAUACCCUGCUGAGUGAUGAAUGUUAAAAUCUUCCUGGGCUUUUACUGGGGGUCACUUGUACUCUCCCAAACCUGAAUUAUAUCAAAUGCUUUCAGGUCACACACAGAGUUAUUUUGUUCUUUAUGUUUUGCUUUCAAAACUAUGCACCAGUGUAUUCUGUUUUAAAGGUGUGUAAAUAAUGGUGGCAAGGAGCGAGACCAGGCCAAAUGCCCAAAUAGGAGCAAGAAUUCUAGUCUCAGAGAACUAUGUAAAGUGAGGUCUUAGACCGCUGAAAAACAUUCUGUUCUGCGGGGUAUUGAGGCUCUAGUCAUGCCAUUUAUUAUGAAUUUUGGUAAAA